GUUACAUUUGCGAUUUCAGAUAAACAACAACUAAAAUGUUAUUUCAAGUAUGUCCCAUGCAAUAUUUGGGACAUACUUAUACUGAAAAAUUAUUGACUAUCAGAAAUUUAUAUUUAACUGGGUGUC
rnacentral:miRNA from 1 species